GACGAACGCUGGCGGCGUGCUUAACACAUGCAAGUCGAACGAAGAGCGAUGGAAGCUUGCUUCUAUCAAUCUUAGUGGCGCACGGGUGAGUAACGCGUAAUCAACCUGCCCUUCGGAGGGGGACAACAGUUGGAAACGACUGCUAAUACCGCAUACGAUCUAAUCUCGGCAUCGAGGAUAGAUGAAAGGUGGCCUCUACAUGUAAGCUAUCACUGAAGGAGGGGAUUGCGUCUGAUUAGCUAGUUGGAGGGGUAACGGCCCACCAAGGCGAUGAUCAGUAGCCGGUCUGAGAGGAUGAACGGCCACAUUGGGACUGAGACACGGCCCAGACUCCUACGGGAGGCAGCAGUGGGGAAUCUUCCGCAAUGGACGAAAGUCUGACGGAGCAACGCCGCGUGAGUGAUGACGGCCUUCGGGUUGUAAAGCUCUGUUAAUCGGGACGAAAGGCCUUCUUGCGAAUAGUGAGAAGGAUUGACGGUACCGGAAUAGAAAGCCACGGCUAACUACGUG
rnacentral:rRNA from 1 species